AGAUGAAGAAACAGAAGACACCAGUUCGUUCGAGGGUUAAAAGAUUUGCUUUUGACUGAAGAAAAGAAACAGGUCCAUUAGUUUUAGGGAUAUCUCGUUGGAUUUCUGUGUCGACACAACUCCUACAGUUCAAGAUAACUUAAAUUGACUUGUCUGUACUCCCAACAUGUGAGGAGAUCUUUUGGUGCUUGUAUAGUUCAAAAUAUUAGUAUCCCGUUUUGUUACCUUGAUAUGCUGAAA
rnacentral:misc_RNA from 1 species